UUUUAAUAGAAGUUAUUUAAUACUUUGCAGAAACUACAAGUACAAGUCUUCAGGCUCACAGACUUUUCCUGCUUCUCCAUUCCUGUGAAUCCUAGCAACAGAGAAGUCAAAUUUGCUCCAACUACAGUGGCUGCAUGAAAGUGGAGGCUGCCAGAGAGGCGCUGUAGAUUGUGUGGAGUCUGCAGUAAGGGGAGCACUUUCUGAUAAUCUUCGACGCUGGGUUUGCCAUCAGAAGGCCAACAUUCCUGCUGGAGGAACUCAGUUCACACCACCCAGGCAGAACAUGAGCAGCUGUUCCUCCUGCUUGUGUUUGGCUUACCCUGGUUGAGGAUGGACAGAUCAGCGUGGAGGUGAGAAAGGAAGUUCAAGUGGCAGGCAACUGCGGGCUGUCACCUAAGGAUUUUGUAUUAUCUGCUCCCCCUUCAUC